rnacentral:lncRNA from 1 species
GUAUUACUGGACAGUAAAACCACCAAAGAAAAAUUUCCCAGAAUAAUUCUUACCCUUCUGAGUUAGCUCAAACUGUAUCAUCACAUGAGAUGCAUGUAUUUCCCUCUACUACGCUCUGUUUAUUCCAUCAAAAGUGUGCCUCUAAGCAUUCCAGUGAGAGCUCUUUGUUGGAGGGACAAAUGACCUUUAGGAAGUCCUCAGAAACAUAAAUAGAGCAGAUGAGGCAGGCAAGAAAAGGAAGGGAGCAUCCUGACCAAGGGCCAGGCCUCCAGCCAGCUGGGAUUGGCCCAGGAAAUCUCCCCGACCCGACAGUGGAAAGAUGGGGUAGAAGAAAAGCAACUGUUCAUCACCCCCUCCAAAUGCAUAAAGAAAAGAAGGGUCUCUGCUAUCUGGAAUCAAACUCCAGCCUGAAUCUGGAAGCGGCACACUUUCUAAAUCUGGACUAUGAUGGUCUGCAGCCCAGUCACCAACCAAAUACAGAAAGGAAACUUUAUCACUUUAUUUUUCCCAAGGAAGGCUGUUCUUUAAAACAACAUCAGAUCAAUGUUACACUUGGUUUGGAGAACCGCACUGUCUGGGUGUAGAAGAUCCAUUCUAGCAUGGCUGUCACCUGGAUGGUGUAAAGGGGAGAUGGAGAAGAAUCAAUCUGCUUGUUUCCUUGGAGGAGCUCCAGGCUUCGCCUUCACUUUGAACAUCAUCUCCUGGCUUCCAGUGCAGACUCUUCAGCUUCCAGCUCAGACUUUUCAGCCUUCCCACAUAAACUCUUCAGCCUUCCAUCACAGACCCAUCAGCCUCCUGAUAUGAACUCUGCAGUGAGCUCCAGACCUUCAACUGAAUCCUUCAUAUCCAGUGUGCAGACAAAUCCUCUGCACUCUUCCACAUCUGACUGUUUGAGUCUCUAUUGUAAGUCAAUCUUGUAAAUUCAUAUAUAUGUAAUAUAUAUAUUUGUAUAUUUCAUGUUAUAUCUGUUUCAUUCAUCUGUAGAUGGACAUCUGGUUUCUUUCUAUCUUUUGACUAUUGUGAAUAACUCUGCUAUGAACCGCAGUGUGUGAAGAUCUGUUUGAGUCCCUUUUUCAUUUCUUUGGGGAUAUAUUCAGAGGCAGAAUUGCUUGAUCAUAUGAUAUUUCCAUGUUUUACUUUCUGUGGAACCACAGAACUCUUUCCACUGCUGUCAUAUUUGAUGUUUCCUUCAGCAAAGCACAAGAGCUUCAGUUUCUUCUCCACAUCUUCACCGAUAUUUUCCACAUUUUUGAUAACAGCCACUCCAAUGGCUAAGUAUCAUUACUGAAUUUGGUCUGCUUUGUUAACUAUUCUUACGAAAAGUCACAAAGAGGAAUUAUUAUACAGCUAGUUACCCUGCAUGUGGAAAGCUGCAAACAUCUGAUGUGAGUCUCAAAGCAGAAAGUAAAAUAUGGUGAUAUCUGUUACAUUUCAAACACAGCACUGAUAUUUCUCCAAAUAAGAACAUAAACCUGUGUUUUGAAACUGCCAUUAAAAAUCUUACAGCAAAUUCUUGGUAUAUAAGUAGAUCCCUAGUCAAGACCAUAGCCUAUAAGAGGCUGAUACCUGUGAAUGCCUUUCUUGGCAAAGCCAAACUCUUACUGAAGUUAGGAAUACCUUACACUUGACCCCAAACAUUAAACGAUUUCCCUCCAUUUUGAUUUUAGUUCAGUGCAUGGUGAAAGAUGUGGGUCUAAUUUUAAUCUUUGGCAAGUUGAAACCCAGUUUUUCCAACACCGUUUAUUAAAUAGGCUAUCUUUCCUCCAGUGAGGGUAUUUGGCUCCUUUGUCAAAGAUGAGCUAUCUGAGUGUGUCUGGAGUUGUUGUUGCAUCUUCUAAUCUGUUCCACUGAUCCUCAGGUUUGUUUCCUUGCCAGUACCAUGUUGUUUUUAUCGUAGUGGUUUGUAGUAUAGUUUCAUGUUGCAGAUUGUGAUAUCCCCUGUCAUGUCUCCAUUGCCCAGAAUCGCUUUCGCUAUUCUAGGUCUCUUCUGGUUCCAAAUGAAUUUUUGGAUUGUUUUCUCUAGUUCUGUGAAGUAUACUGUUGGAAUUUCAAUUGGGAUUUACGCUCUUUAUAUUAUUAUCCCAGCUCAGCUUCAUACGGUCCUCUCAGGUGACAGAGGAAUGGGGGAGGGGAGUUUAUGUGUCCAAUACCCUGUGAUCAGAAGACACCGA